rnacentral:misc_RNA from 1 species
CAAUACUGCUCGCCAGAGAACUACUAGCAAUAGCUUAAAACUCAAAGGACUUGGCGGCGCUUUAUAUCCCUCUAGAGGAGCCUGUUCUGUAAUCGAUAAACCCCAAUAAACCUCACCAGUCCUUGCUAAUACAGCCUAUAUACCGCCACCUUCAGCAAACCCUAAAAAGGAGCCAUAGUAAGCAAAAUCAUGAAGCAUAAAAACGUUAGGUCAAGGUGUAGCCUAUGGACUGGGAAGAAAUGGGCUACAUUUUCUAAUAUAGAACACAAACGAAAAUUUUCGCGAAAUCGAAAAUAGAAGGAGGAUUUAGUAGUAAAUUAAGAAUAGAGAGCUUAAUUGAAUAAGGCCAUAAAGCACGCACACACCGCCCGUCACCCUCCUCAAGUAUAAAGAGACGAACAAUCAACUAUAUUGAUAAACGUACACACAUAUUAGAGGAGACAAGUCGUAACAAGGUAAGCGUACUGGAAAGUGCGCUUGGACAAACCAAAGUGUAGCUUAUCCAAAGCACCUGGCCUACACCCAGAAGAUUCCAUACAACCAUGGCCACCUUGAACAAAUACUAGCCCAAACCACGUAAAACGCAAUUUACAAGACCCAAUAAAACAAAACAUUUACUCUAAUUAAAGUAUAGGAGAUAGAAAUUUUAACUGGCGCUAUAGAGAAAGUACCGUAAGGGAAAGAUGAAAGACGGAUUAAAAGUAAGAUAAAGCAAAGAUUAUCCCUUGUACCUUUUGCAUAAUGAUUUAACCAGAACAACUUGACGAAGAGAACUUAAGCCAAGUAACCCGAAACCAAACGAGCCACCCAAGAGCAGCUAAAGAGCAAACUCAUCUAUGUGGCAAAAUAGUGAGAAGACUUUUAGGUAGAGGUGAAAAGCCUAUCGAGCCUGGUGAUAGUUGGUUGCCCAGAAAAGAAUUUUAGUUCAACUUUAAGUCCUGCCCAAAAACCCUCUAACUUAAAUGCAGACUUAAAAUAUAAUCUAAAAGGGUACAGCCUUUUAGAUACAGGAUACAACCUUAACUAGAGAGUAAGUAGCAAAUCCACCCCAUAGUUGGCUUAAAAGCAGCCACCAAUUAAGAAAGCGUUCAAGCUCGACGAUUCACGCAUGCCCUAAUUUUAAUAAUGUCUACGAACCCCUAAACUAGAACUGGGCUAUUCUAUUAGUAAAUAGAAGAAACACUGUUAAUAUGAGUAACAAGAAUCGAUUUCUCCACGCACAAACUUAUAUCAGAACGGAUGAUCCACUGAUAGUUAACAGCAAGACAAUUCAAUUCUACAGAUAAAGCACAUGU